rnacentral:rRNA from 1 species
GAUGAACGCUGGCGGCGUGCCUAAUACAUGCAAGUCGAGCGAACAGACGAGGAGCUUGCUCCUCUGACGUUAGCGGCGGACGGGUGAGUAACACGUGGAUAACCUACCUAUAAGACUGGGAUAACUUCGGGAAACCGGAGCUAAUACCGGAUAAUAUAUUGAACCGCAUGGUUCAAUAGUGAAAGACGGUUUUGCUGUCACUUAUAGCUGGAUCCGCGCCGCAUUAGCUAGUUGGUAAGGUAACGGCUUACCAAGGCAACGAUGCGUAGCCGACCUGAGAGGGUGAUCGGCCACACUGGAACUGAGACACGGUCCAGACUCCUACGGGAGGCAGCAGUAGGGAAUCUUCCGCAAUGGGCGAAAGCCUGACGGAGCAACGCCGCGGGAAGGAUGAAGGUCUUCGGAUCGUAAAACUCUGUUAUUAGGGAAGAACAAAUGUGUAAGUAACUAUGCACGUCUUGACGGUACCUAAUCAGAAAGCCACGGCUAACUACGUG